GAUGAACGCUGGCGGCGUGCCUAAUACAUGCAAGUCGAGCGAACAGACGAGGAGCUUGCUCCUUUGACGUUAGCGGCGGUCGGGUGAGUAACACGUGGGUAACCUACCUAUAAGACUGGGAUAACUUCGGGAAACCGGAGCUAAUACCGGAUAAUAUUUCGAACCGCAUGGUUCGAUAGUGAAAGAUGGCUUUGCUAUCACUUAUAGAUGGACCUGCGCCGUAUUAGCUAGUUGGUAAGGUAACGGCUUACCAAGGCAACGAUACGUAGCCGACCUGAGAGGGUGAUCGGCCACACUGGAACUGAGACACGGUCCAGACUCCUACGGGAGGCAGCAGUAGGGAAUCUUCCGCAAUGGGCGAAAGCCUGACGGAGCAACGCCGCGUGAGUGAUGAAGGUCUUCGGAUCGUAAAACUCUGUUAUUAGAGAAGAACAAACGUGUAAGUAACUGUGCACGUCUUGACGGUACCUAAUCAGAAAGCCACGGCUAACUACGUG
rnacentral:rRNA from 1 species